GGCUUAACCGGAGAAGUGCAUCGGAAACUGGGAGACUUGAGUGCAGAAGAGGGCAGUGGAACUCCAUGUGUAGCGGUGGAAUGCGUAGAUAUAUGGAAGAACACCAGUGGCGAAGGCGGCUGUCUAGUCUGUAACUGACGCUGAGGCUCGAAAGCAUGGGUAGCGAACAGGAUUAGAUACCCUGGUAGUCCAUGCCGUAAACGAUGAGUGCUAAGUGUUGGAGGGUUUCCGCCCUUCAGUGCUGCAGCUAACGCAUUAAGCACUCCGCCUGGGGAGUACGACCGCAAGGUUGAAACUCAAAGGAAUUGACGGGGGCCCGCACAAGCGGUGGAGCAUGUGGUUUAAUUGGAAGAUACGCGAAGAACCUUACCAGGUCUUGACAUCUUCUGCCAAUCUUAGAGAUAAGACGUUCCCUUCGGGGACAGAAUGACAGGUGGUGCAUGGUUGUCGUCAGCUCGUGUCGUGAGAUGUUGGGUUAAGUCCCGCAACGAGCGCAACCCUUAUUAUCAGUUGCCAGCAUUCAGUUGGGCAUUUUGGUGAGACUGCCGGUGACAAACCGGAGGAAGGUGGGGAUGACGUCAAAUCAUCAUGCCCCUUAUGACCUGGGCUACACACGUGUUCCAAUGGACGGUACAACGAGUCGCGAAGUCGUGAGGCUAAGCUAAUUUCUUAAAGCCGUUUUCAGUUCGGAUUGUAGGCUGCAAUUCGCCUCCAGGAAGUUGGAAUCGCUAGUAAUCGCGGAUCAGCAUGCCGCGGUGAAUACGUUCCCGGGCCUUGUACACACCGCCCGUCACACCAUGAGAGUUUGUAACACCCAAAGCCGGUGAGAUAACCUUCGGGAGUCAGCCGUC
rnacentral:rRNA from 2 species